rnacentral:rRNA from 1 species
AUGAACGCUGGCGGCGUGCCUAAUACAUGCAAGUCGAGCGAACAGAUGAGGAGCUUGCUCCUCUGACGUUAGCGGCGGACGGGUGAGUAACACGUGGAUAACCUACCUAUAAGACUGGGAUAACUUCGGGAAACCGGAGCUAAUACCGGAUAAUAUAUUGAACCGCAUGGUUCAAUAGUGAAAGACGGUUUUGCUGUCACUUAUAGAUGGAUCCGCGCCGCAUUAGCUAGUUGGUAAGGUAACGGCUUACCAAGGCAACGAUGCGUAGCCGACCUGAGAGGGGGAAGGGCAACGGAAGGGUUAAGACACGGAGGAGACGGGAAGGGGAGGCAGAAGGAGGGAAACGUCAGGAAUGGGCAAAGGCCUAAAGAAGCAACUAAGGAGGAGUAAUGAGGAUCUAGGGAGCGGAGAACGCUUUGAUGAGAGAAGGAAAAAGAGGUAAGUAAAGAGGCGCGUCAGCACGGUAGCAAAUAAAAAAGGCAGAGCUGAAUGCGAG